rnacentral:rRNA from 1 species
AUUGAACGCUGGCGGCAGGCCUAACACAUGCAAGUCGAGCGGAUGAAGGGAGCUUGCUCCUGGAUUCAGCGGCGGACGGGUGAGUAAUGCCUAGGAAUCUGCCUGGUAGUGGGGGAUAACGUCUGGAAACGGGCGCUAAUACCGCAUACGUCCUGAGGGAGAAAGUGGGGGAUCUUCGGACCUCACGCUAUCAGAUGAGCCUAGGUCGGAUUAGCUAGUUGGAGGGGUAAAGGCCUACCAAGGCGACGAUCCGUAACUGGUCUGAGAGGAUGAUCAGUCACACUGGAACUGAGACACGGUCCAGACUCCUACGGGAGGCAGCAGUGGGGAAUAUUGGACAAUGGGCGAAAGCCUGAUCCAGCCAUGCCGCGUGUGUGAAGAAGGUCUUCGGAUUGUAAAGCACUUUAAGUUGGGAGGAAGGGCAGUAAGUUAAUACCUUGCUGUUUUGACGUUACCAACAGAAUAAGCACCGGCUAACUUCGUG